CCUUUACAUACCCGCCAGACACCUCCAGGAAGUAAGCGCCCGCUGCCUUCGUUCUCCCAACUGGAGCAACCUCUGUGGCGGCGACGAUGGCGGCCGUCAGGCCGGUGGUGAUGAAUAGAGAGGAUUUCUCUGCAGCGCGAAGCUCCCCUCUCCCGAAAGGUUGGCUCCACGGUCCCGCCGGCCGCGCGGGUCUGGCUGAACUGCGUGGCGUCGCCCGGCUCCUCUCGAUUUUAUGAAAAUGGCCUAAUUGAGGUGUGCUCUUUUCUUUCUUUCCUCUUUUCAUCUUUUCCUUCCGUCUGCAUUUUCUCUCCUCUGUCUUAGGCUUGAUAUCUUCUUUUCUUUUUAUAUUUGUGUUUUUCUCACCGCCUUUGCUUCCUUCCAUUUCAGUUAUCUUGCUUUUUGUGUGCUCUUUCUUGAUUUCUUUCUUUCCUCUUCUCGUUAUUGCUCACUCUCUGUUUCCGCCACCCACCCGUUGCUCUGUCUUCAUUUUCCCUUUAGUACUUUUCUCCCUAUCUUUCAGCUCACUUACACU
rnacentral:lncRNA from 1 species